AUGAACGCUGGCGGCGUGCCUAAUACAUGCCAGUCGAGCGAACAGACGAGGAGCUUGCUCCUCUGACGUUAGCGGCGGACGGGUGAGUAACACGUGGAUAACCUACCUAUAAGACUGGGAUAACUUCGGGAAACCGGAGCUAAUACCGGAUAAUAUAUUGAACCGCAUGGUUCAAUAGUGAAAGACGGUUUUGCUGUCACUUAUAGAUGGAUCCGCGCCGCAUUAGCUAGUUGGUAAGGUAACGGCUUACCAAGGCAACGAUGCGUAGCCGACCUGAGAGGGUGAUCGGCCACACUGGAACUGAGACACGGUCCAGACUCCUACGGGAGGCAGCAGUAGGGAAUCUUCCGCAAUGGGCGAAAGCCUGACGGAGCAACGCCGCGUGAGUGACGAAGGUCUUCGGAUCGUAAAACUCUGUUAUUAGGGAAGAACAAAUGUGUAAGUAACUAUGCACGUCUUGACGGUACCUAAUCAGAAAGCCACGGCUAACUACGUG
rnacentral:rRNA from 1 species